UGGGGAAUAUUGGACAAUGGGCGCAAGCCUGAUCCAGCCAUGCCGCGUGAGUGAUGAAGGCCUUAGGGUUGUAAAGCUCUUUUGUCCGGGAAGAUAAUGACCGUACCGGAAGAAUAAGCUCCGGCUAACUUCGUGCCAGCAGCCGCGGUAAUACGAAGGGAGCUAGCGUUGUUCGGAAUUACUGGGCGUAAAGCGCAUGCAGGCGGAUCGUUAAGUCGAGGGUGAAAUCCCAGGGCUCAACCCUGGAACUGCCUUCGAUACUGGCGACCUUGAGUCUGGAAGAGGUUGGUAGAAUUCCCAGUGUAGAGGUGAAAUUCGUAGAUAUUGGGAAGAAUACCAGUGGCGAAGGCGGCCAACUGGUCCAGAUCUGACGCUGAGGUGCGAAAGCGUGGGGAGCAAACA
rnacentral:rRNA from 1 species